CCUACGGGAGACAGCAGUGAGGAAUAUUGGUCAAUGGCCGGAAGGCUGAACCAGCCAUGCCGCGUGAAGGGCAGGGGCCUAGGGGCGUUAAACUUCUUUUGUGCGGGAGCAAGAAUGGUCACGGGUGGCCAGACGAGAGGACCGUACGAAGAAGCAGCGGCUAACUCCGGGCCAGCAGCCGCGGUAAUACGGGGGAUGCAAGCGUUAUCCGGAUUUAUUGGGUGUAAAGGGGGCGUAGGCUGUGAGGUAAGUCAGCGGUGCAAUGCCCCCGCUCAACGGGGUGAAGUGCCAUUGAUACUGCCUUGCUGGACUGCGGAUGCCGUUGGCGGAAUGUGUGGUGUAGCGGU
rnacentral:rRNA from 1 species